rfam:Scleropages formosus scaffold39969, whole genome shotgun sequence.
GCCCGGCUAGCUCAGUCGGUAGAGCACAAAACUCUUAAUCUUGGGGUCGUGGGAUCGAGCCCCAUGCUGCGCG